rnacentral:rRNA from 1 species
GACGGGGACCCGCACAAGCGGUGGAGCAUGUGGUUUAAUUCGAAGCAACGCGAAGAACCUUACCAAGUCUUGACAUCUCCUUGACCUAGUAUGUAAUGUACUAUCUCUUCGGAGCAAGGAUGACAGGUGGUGCAUGGUUGUCGUCAGCUCGUGUCGUGAGAUGUUGGGUUAAGUCCCGCAACGAGCGCAACCCUUGUCCUUAGUAGCCAGCAGUUCGGCUGGGCACUCUAGGGAGACUGCCGGGGAUAACCCGGAGGAAGGCGGGGAUGACGUCAAAUCAUCAUGCCCCUUAUGACUUGGGCUACACACGUGCUACAAUGGCGACUACAAAGAGAAGCGAAGGAGUGAUCCGGAGCAAAUCUCAAAAAGGUCGUCCCAGUUCGGAUUGUAGUCUGCAACUCGACUACAUGAAGCCGGAAUCGCUAGUAAUCGCGAAUCAGAAUGUCGCGGUGAAUACGUUCCCGGGUCUUGUACACACCGCCCGUCACACCAUGGGAGCCGGAAAUGCCCGAAGUCUGUGACCCAACCGCAAGGAGGGAGCAGCCGAAGGUGGAGCUGGUGACUGGGGUGAAGACGUAACAAGGUGG